AAGGGUGGAGAGCUUGAGAGAAGGUAGUUAAUCUUACCACAAUAAGGCUUAUUGUCAUGCACUUAUAAUGGCUGUCACUUGCAAGGUUCAUAAAAGCUGAGGCUUCUGAUUAAAUAUGGUUGGUAAGUUUUUUAUUUAUUGGGAAAUUUUAGCUGAUUGAGAAAAACAUGAACUUUGAGGUCACUAUCAGAUUGCUACCUGAAUCUUAUUCUUACAUCCUGAACAAAAUAUCAAUUGUCUGAUUUUGAAUUAGAUAUGGUUAUAUUGUGCAAUCUUCUUAUUAUUUCCAGCUAUCCUCUUGAAAGAGCCAGUAUCUCCUUGAAAGUAACAAAAUUUGAUCUUAGUUACUUUAUGUGGUCAUAACUUUAGUACAAUAUAAACUUUUGAUGAAAAUGCUUGGUAGGA
rnacentral:misc_RNA from 1 species